rnacentral:misc_RNA from 1 species
CCGAGCUCGCGCCCGCCAGGGUCGACCUCCCACCCGUGUGUAUGCCUACCUCGUUGCUUUGGCGCGCCGCCCCCCCCUCGCGGGGCCUCGGGCGCGCGCCGGAGGAUACCAAACGCUUUUGUUCCGGUCGUCUGAGUACUAUGCAAUCGUUA